CAACAGACACUCCCAACCCACCCUCGGGGAGGGAUGUGGUUUUUGGCUCCCCGUGCCGCAUGGCGCGGUGGGCCGAAGUUGGGGCUGCCGGCGAUUCGUGUCGGGCACAGCACGUGGUGGGCGACACUUAGUUGUUCUCGGUGCAGCGCCCCGACACGUGGCCGGUGCAUCGGCCCUAAGGACCCUUCGGGCACCGCAGCACAUCGUUGCUCGGACC
rnacentral:misc_RNA from 1 species